AAUAAUUGAUCCCAAACAUUAAGACCAUAAAUGAAAGAACUCAUACAGUUAAAUUGACAGUGCUCCUCCUCCUGGUUCACAAUUUCUUUACUACAGCAUUGAUGGCGGCUCGCCUCCUCUUGUUAAUACUUUCAGAUCCAUUGUCUUUGCCCCUUUUUAACAGAUAGAGAAAAGAUGGCAGAGAGAAGAUCAAGAUUAGCACUUUAUAUGUUGUUAGUGUUGAUGGCAGUUAUGGUGAAGAUAAAGGGAGACCCAACAUGCAGUCCAGCUGGGAACUUUUGGUGCAACAGUGGGAGAUGUUGCAGCAUUUAUAACUGGUGUGGAAGUACAUCAGACUACUGUGCAUCUGGCAACUGUCUUGCUCAGUGCUGGCCAAACGCCCUUGCACUUAACCAGUCUAGUUUGAGUGUAGCUCAACACAACCUUACCUCGGCCUCUCCAUAGCAACUCAUCACUGCUAUCUGGGUUGAUGAAGAAGAAUUAGUUAAUCUUUUAGACUAAGCAAUAUAUUAAGUCUAGAGAAUUUCAGUGGAUUCUGAGUGUUUAACACUUUUAAACUUAGAAAUCAAAGCUUAGUGUGUGAUUUAAGUCAUCCCCAAAUAAAUAAAAUUAUAACAAGAAUUUUAAUCAUCA